AAAGCGUAUUUUUAUCACUUAAGCUUUCCUGGUAACACAAAACACUUCAGCUGUACAGUGUAGACUGGUAAGCUACUUACAGGCCACAGAUCUUUUUGCCUUUUAGACUUAGAAAGCCAUAGGAAUUGUGUGUGUACUCAUAUUUUAUUCAUAGCCAGUUUCAAAGGAAAAGGUGUGUGGUCAUACAAGGUGGAUUCAUUCUGCACAGAGAAUUAAAUUAGUUGCUGUUUUGAAGCUGUGAAUUAAGAAGGAGGAUGUCGUAUCUGGCCUCUAAUGGACGUGAUAGUAAACAUCUUUGCAGCUGGCAUUAUUUGGCAGCAUCAGUAGAAGGAAAAGACUGAAAACAGCAUGGAAUUUAAAUUCCUUUCCAACUAGCAGGAGUAAAUCCUUUUAGGGAACUGACCAGACAGUCUGCAGAAAUUUUGCUCAGAUAUUGUAUGAAUCAUUUUUGCUCCCCAGAUAAAUCAUCAGUUGAACCUGAUAGGUUCCUGACCUGGCCUCUGAAUGCUGAAGAAAAACUUGGCUAUGCUGACACGGAAACGUUACACAUCUGAUCCAUGACCAGACAGAAUUCAGCAGAGAAGUGAGGAUGUGUUAAUGCUAUGUUCCUUUAUUGACAGAUUGAAAACCUAGAAUGGCAGGAGAACAGAAGCCGUCCUGCAAUCUUCUAGAGCAGUUUAUUUUACUAGCAAAAGGUACAAGUGGCUCAGCUCUGACUGCUCUUAUAAAUCAAGUGCUGGAAGCUCCUGGGGUUUAUGUCUUUGGAGAACUAUUGGAGUUAACGAAUGUGCAAGAGCUUGCUGAAGGGUCUAAUGCUGCUUAUUUCCAGUUGCUGAACCUGUUCGCGUACGGAACAUACCCAGAUUAUGUAGCAAACAAAGAUAACCUACCUGAAUUAACAGUGACUCAGAAAAACAAGCUGAAACACUUGACGAUUGUAAGCCUGGCAUCCAGAAUGAAGUGCAUUCCCUAUUCUGUAUUGCUGAAGGAUCUGGAUAUGAAAAAUCUGAGGGAGUUGGAAGAUCUGAUUAUUGAAGCGGUUUAUACAGAUAUUAUCCAGGGGAAGCUGGAUCAGCGAAACCAGGUGCUAGAGGUGGACUUUUGUAUCGGCAGAGACAUUCAGAAGAAGGACAUCAGUAACAUUGUCAAAACACUCCAGGAAUGGUGUGAUGGUUGUGAAGCGGUUCUUUUAGGAAUUGAGCAGCAAGUACUUAGAGCCAACCAAUACAAAGAGAACCAUCACCGAACUCAACAGCAGGUAGAGAUCGAGCUGUUAGAGAGCACCAGUUCCUACAGGAUCAGCUGCCAGCUGUGAUGCUAUACCUUUUACAUCACGACUGAGAUGACACCUCUCCUUGCUGGCAGACAAGCCAGAGCCUCGACAGAGGGUUGUCAUUACCUACCAGCAUCUCUGGAAGGCUCUAGCUGACUCUCAGGCAGGGCACUGAGCUGCCAGCUGCCUUUCCUGCCUCCCUCCUUCCUGGGGCCUUGAUCUUGUUCCCCAUAGGCAACAUCAUAGGCUGCUGCUCCCCAUCCAGCUGGACUCUGGGCACCAGAGGUGGGUACUUGUUUCUGACAGACGCUUUUGUUGCACGAGGCUAGAAACGUCAUGUGUGUGCGUCUAACCUGAUGAUUGAGCUGUCGGGUGUCUGGAUCAAUCCUCUUGUUCUCUAAACCUAAUGUUCUCUAAUAGUUGGGGAGAGUCUGGCUGGAGGUUUCUAUGGUUUCCUGGUGGUUGCUAAGGGAAAGGAUCUCUCUGCCUCUAGGUCUUGGUGACUUUCUUUUUGCCCUGUCCUAGGCGCUGGAGCCCAGCAGAACAUAAUGCUCGUUGUUUCACAGCCCAUUACAAUGGUCAGGAUGCAAUUUGGGACUCCUGUCACGGCUGAGCUGGGCACCUGCCACUCUUUUAUUUUUAAUCUCUAUGGCCUCUUUGAAGAAUGAGACCACAGAGCCUUCAUGCAGGAGUUUGUGCUUUUGCUGUGCUCCCAACCCCCUCGCUUGCUGUUUCCUUUAGAGCUCUGAGUAAUUUUUACAAUUUAUUUCAUGCACUUUACGUAGCAAGAAGCUGUAGCAACAGCUGGGUCCGUGAAUCCUUACCAGGCAGUCCUCAGUGUAUUUUGGUCUAUGUAUUGUCCCAGGCACAGUUAAAUAAAUUUGUGUGGGCAGAAGGGACUUUACGAAGGUUUGGUGAGUGGGAAUAUCAACAAGAUACUUAGCGAGCUGCUGGAUUCUAGAAUAACAGUGCCUUGGGCAUAAAGCUCUAUUCCCACUAGCACAACUGGGGGCCAGAUCCAACAUGGUCUCUUUGUUGUUGUCAGCAGGGGCCGCAUCUCCAUGCGGUGCCCAGUCAUAAAGCGAUGGUUACAAGAUGAAAUUUGGACCCAAACCUGCAGACUGGAAGUGGUUAAAACAUGUCUAGGCCAAACGCUGCUCUUGUCACACUGCUGAAAAUCCGGUUCCAGGCUGUUGAACACGGAGGGCUUAUAUCCAGGGGUGCCAUUCAGGAUGUGGGCACAGAUGAGCUGCCUGAGGCCAUGUGCUCUUGUAGGGAGCUUGGCUGGGUUUUCAGAGGCUGAUGGCUGUGCAGCGCCAGGCAGGAUUCGGUCCAUCAGUGCAUCACAGGAUUGGGCGCAAGUUUACUUUUGCAUAUGGAAUCAAAGCUUAAAAUAUUAGCUGGCCUUCCUCUCACUCCUGACUUUCCUAAAACAUCUGAACAAUUUCUUUUUUAACUCAGUUGAAAUCAAUCAAUCUGACAUUUAAAUUGUACGUGAAUUUGAUAAAUAAAGACAGGUUACAAAAUGCC